rnacentral:rRNA from 1 species
AUGCAUUUCGACGGCUCCAAGAUGCGCACUGGCUUGGGAGCCGGCGUCGUCCUCACCUCUCCCAAAGGCGACAAGCUCAAGUAUGCGCUGCAAAUCCACUUUGCCGCCUCCAAUAACAUCGCCGAGUACGAGGCGCUCAUUCACGGGCUCCGGCUUGCCAAAGAGCUUGGCAUCCGCCGGAUCUUGUGUUAUGGCGACUCGGACUUAGUGGUCCAGCAAUCAUCUAGCAACUGGGACGCGAAAGAUGCAAACAUGGCGAGCUACCGUUUCCUCGUGCAGCAACUCAGCGGGUAUUUCGAAGGGUGCAAGUUCCUCCAUGUGCCAAGGAAUGACAACGACCAAGCAGAUGCAUUAGCAUGA